UCCGGUUGCCCUUUCCGCUGACAUUAGU
rnacentral:sRNA from 1 species